GCCGGUGAUAAACCGGAGGAAGGUGUGGAUGACGUCAAGUCAUCAUGCCCCUUACAUCCUGGGCUACACACGUACUACAAAUGCUACGGACAAAGGGUUGCAAAACCCGCGAGAGCUAGCUAAUCCCAUAAACCGUGGCUCAGUUCAGAUCGUAGGCUGCAACUCGCCUACGUGAAGGAGGAAUCGCUAGUAAUCGCAGGUUCAGCAUACUGCGGUGAAUACGUUCCCGGGCCUUGUACACACCGCCCGUCACACCAUG
rnacentral:rRNA from 1 species